AGACCCGAAACCCGGUGAUCUAGCCAUGGGCAGGUUGAAGGUUGGGUAACACUAACUGGAGGACCGAACCGACUAAUGUUGAAAAAUUAGCGGAUGACUUGUGGCUGGGGGUGAAAGGCCAAUCAAACCGGGAGAUAGCUGGUUCUCCCCGAAAGCUAUUUAGGUAGCGCCUCGUGAAUUCAUCUCCGGGGGUAGAGCACUGUUUCGGCAAGGGGGUCAUCCCGACUUACCAACCCGAUGCAAACUGCGAAUACCGGAGAAUGUUAUCACGGGAGACACACGGCGGGUGCUAACGUCCGUCGUGAAGAGGGAAACAACCCAGACCGCCAGCUAAGGUCCCAAAGUCAUGGUUAAGUGGGAAACGAUGUGGGAAGGCCCAGACAGCCAGGAUGUUGGCUUAGAAGCAGCCAUCAUUUAAAGAAAGCGUAAUAGCUCACUGGUCGAGUCGGCCUGCGCGGAAGAUGUAACGGGGCUAAACCAUGCACCGAAGCUGCGGCAGCGACACUGUGUGUUGUUGGGUAGGGGAGCGUUCUGUAAGCCUGUGAAGGUGUGCUGUGAGGCAUGCUGGAGGUAUCAGAAGUGCGAAUGCUGACAUAAGUAACGAUAAAGCGGGUGAAAAGCCCGCUCGCCGGAAGACCAAGGGUUCCUGUCCAACGUUAAUCGGGGCAGGGUGAGUCGACCCCUAAGGCGAGGCCGAAAGGCGUAGUCGAUGGGAAACAGGUUAAUAUUCCUGUACUUGGUGUUACUGCGAAGGGGGGACGGAGAAGGCUAUGUUGGCCGGGCGACGGUUGUCCCGGUUUAAGCGUGUAGGCUGGUUUUCCAGGCAAAUCCGGAAAAUCAAGGCUGAGGCGUGAUGACGAGGCACUACGGUGCUGAAGCAACAAAUGCCCUGCUUCCAGGAAAAGCCUCUAAGCAUCAGGUAACAUCAAAUCGUACCCCAAACCGACACAGGUGGUCAGGUAGAGAAUACCAAGGCGCUUGAGAGAACUCGGGUGAAGGAACUAGGCAAAAUGGUGCCGUAACUUCGGGAGAAGGCACGCUGAUAUGUAGGUGAAGUCCCUCGCGGAUGGAGCUGAAAUCAGUCGAAGAUACCAGCUGGCUGCAACUGUUUAUUAAAAACACAGCACUGUGCAAACACGAAAGUGGACGUAUACGGUGUGACGCCUGCCCGGUGCCGGAAGGUUAAUUGAUGGGGUCAGCGCAAGCGAAGCUCUUGAUCGAAGCCCCGGUAAACGGCGGCCGUAACUAUAACGGUCCUAAGGUAGCGAAAUUCCUUGUCGGGUAAGUUCCGACCUGCACGAAUGGCGUAAUGAUGGCCAGGCUGUCUCCACCCGAGACUCAGUGAAAUUGAACUCGCUGUGAAGAUGCAGUGUACCCGCGGCAAGACGGAAAGACCCCGUGAACCUUUACUAUAGCUUGACACUGAACAUUGAGCCUUGAUGUGUAGGAUAGGUGGGAGGCUUUGAAGUGUGGACGCCAGUCUGCAUGGAGCCGACCUUGAAAUACCACCCUUUAAU
rnacentral:rRNA from 1 species